rnacentral:rRNA from 1 species
UACGUAGGGGGGCGAGCGUUGUCCGGAUUUAUUGGGCGUAAAGAGCGUGUAGGCGGCCAGGUAGGUCUGCUGUGAAAACUCGAGGCUCAACCUCGAGACGUCGGGCGGAAACCAUCUGGCUAGAGUCCGGAAGAGGAGAGUGGAAUUCCUGGUGUGAGCGGUGAAAUGCGCAGAUAUCGGGAAGAACACCCGUGGCGAAGGCGGUUCUC